ensembl:processed_transcript
UCCCGCGGGGCCGCGGCCCUUACCUGCAGCUCGGAAAAUUGAUAGAACUGGAGGUCAUCCUGUUAAGCAAAACAAGCCAAACACAGAAAAAUAAAUAGCACAUUUUCUCUCUUAUGUAGAAUCUCAACUAGAAUACAAAAACAAACAGAACACAUGGAAGUGGAAGGGAGUAUUUGAGAAGAGGGAGGCUUGAGUACCAGUGCUCAGUGGGCCAAGAGGAUUACAAACGGUGAGCAUGAUUGAAAGCCCUCUUCUGCCCUCUUCCCAGAAGAGCCUGAGGUGACCUGUACUCCAUUGACCCAGAAACCCCUAUCAAAUCAUGUAAAUCAAGAGGUUCAAAUUUUUUUGUUAACUUUAAGAACACCAGAAAGCCUUCUAAGUGUCUGGAGGAUGUGACUUUAAAGAAGCCAUGUGUGCCUUUCUGGCAGUGUAGUGGAGGAAUC